GACGUCCUCAUGUGAUAGCCUCACUGUCUGGAUGUCCCUCCUCCUCCCACUCUGGAACUAUAUUUAAAUGACUACUUGUUAAAUUAAUUUGCUGAAGGUCUGUCCUCUCUACCAGAUUGUCAUGCAGGCAAGCCUCAUUCAUUCACCGACUGCUCCUCUCACACCCAGCAAGGCACCUUGGAAAUAGGAGGAUUUCUCUCAAUAAAUGUGUUGAUUUGCUCUAUGAUGGUUCUCAAACACUACCAUGAAAGAAAAUGAUCCGCUGAAUAGUAUGGCCUGAAGAUUCUCUGCUCCUGGAGAGCAGUGAUUGAGGACCUUGGCAUAAGAUGCUCCAGGAAUAGAACCAACAGAGCUUGAGGAUUGUCUAAUGUACCCACUGGCUUUUGGGUUCAAAACCAUUCCUUAAAAACAGUGAGAUUUUUCAUGUUUUAGUUGAAAAGUCUACAAAAUAUGAGAAACUGCACAUUUUGAUAGGUUCGUUUUUUAUUUUUAUUUUUUUCAUUCUAUGUUGUACGUUAAUGUAUUGGGUUUUCUUUAUUUUUGGCCAACCUCUGAAAAUCCAUAAGGCAUUUCAAGAAAAUAAUAAAUUUUACCAUUGAAAACUUC